rnacentral:rRNA from 1 species
UACGGGAGGCAGCAGUGGGGAAUAUUGCACAAUGGGCGAAAGCCUGAUGCAGCUAUGCCGCGUGUAUGAAGAAGGCCUUAGGGUUGUAAAGUACUUUCAUCGGGGAGGAAAAAACAAAACUAAUAAUUUUAUUUCUUGACGUUACCCGAAAAAGAAGCACCGGCUAACUCCGUGCCAGCAGCCGCGGUAAUACGGAGGGUGCUAGCGUUAAUCAGAAUUACUGGGCGUAAAGAGCACGUAGGUGGUUUUUUUAAGUCAGAUGUAAAAAUCCCUGGGCUUUAACCUAGGAACUGCAUUUUGAAACUGAAAUACUAGAGUAUCGUAGAGGGAGGUAGAAUUCUAGGUGUAGCGGUGAAAUGCGUAGAUAUCUGGAGGAAUACCUGUGGCGAAAGCGGCCUCCUAAACGAAUACUGACACUGAGGGUGCGAAAGCGUGGGGAGCAAACCAGGGAUUAGAUACC